UGAGGAAUAUUGGACAAUGGGGGCAACCCUGAUCCAGCCAUGCCGCGUGCGCGAUGAAGGCCUUAGGGUUGUAAAGCGCUUUCACCCGUGAAGAUGAUGACGGUAGCGGGAGAAGAAGCCCCGGCUAACUCCGUGCCAGCAGCCGCGGUAAUACGGAGGGGGCUAGCGUUGUUCGGAAUUACUGGGCGUAAAGGGCGCGUAGGCGGCUUGGUAAGUUGGGGGUGAAAGGCCUGGGCUCAACCUAGGAACUGCCUCCAAAACUGCCUGGCUUGAGAUCGGGAGAGGAUGGUGGAAUUCCCAGUGUAGAGGUGAAAUUCGUAGAUAUUGGGAAGAACACCAGUGGCGAAGGCGGCCAUCUGGACCGAUUCUGACGCUGAGGCGCGAAAGCGUGGGGAGCAAACAGGAUUAGAUACCCCCGUAGUCC
rnacentral:rRNA from 1 species